CCAAUAGCGUAUAUUAAAGUUGUUGCAGUUAAAAAGCUCGUAGUUGAAUUUCGGGGUCAGUAGGUUGGUCAUGCCACUGGUAUGUACUGGUCUCACUGAUUCCUCCUUCCUGAUGAACUGUAAUGCCAUUAAUUUGGUGUUGCAGGGAAUCUGGACUGUUACUUUGAAAAAAUUAGAGUGUUUAAAGCAGGCUAACGCCUGAAUACAUUAGCAUGGAAUAAUGAAAUAGGACGUUCGAUCCUAUUUUGUUGGUUUCUAGGAUUGACGUAAUGAUUAAUAGGGAUAGUUGGGGGCAUUAGUAUUCAAUUGUCAGAGGUGAAAUUCUUGGAUUUAUUGAAGACUAACUACUGCGAAAGCAUUUGCCAAGGAUGUUUUCAUUAAUCAAGAACGAAAGUUAGGGGAUCGAAGACGAUCAGAUACCGCCGUAGUCUUAACCAUAAACUAUGCCGACUAGGGAUCGGAUGAUGUUAAUUUUUUAAUGACUCAUUCGGCGCCUUACG
rnacentral:rRNA from 1 species